UCCGGGUCUCACCAAAGUCAUCUUCAGUAAAAAUCUCCAAUCGACGACGCAAUCCAGCCUUCAAAUCGAUUUCUCCGAUUAAGGAAGUCAAACGAUUGUGACCUUCUGUACUGGCGAAGAAAUAACGACGAAGUCGGUGGGAGAAACGGGAAUUACGACUCCGUUUAAGGAACCCCGGAAGAGAAUUACAAGAAAAAGAAGGACAAAGUGCUUUGAUUUCGUUGUGAUGGGAAAUGGCAGGUCGGCCAUUGCUAUCGACGGAAGGAUAACGAGGAUUUCCUUCCCUUAACCCUGAGAAAUUCAAUGGUUGGAGGAUUUCCUUCCCUUUCUCUAGUAUCAAAGUUGAGUGGUGUAUCUAGGUGGAGCUGCUGAUCCUUCUUCCUGUUUUCUGGAGUUGGAGUUCUUGUCUCUGUUUGUUAGAGGUCCUGGCUAAGUUGGUUCCCUUGUUAUUCGCCAUUUUGUAACCCCUGGUGCUUCUAAGGUUUACUAGCAAUUGUAAUUUUCCUUUUUAAGUACUUUUUAUGUGUGGUAGAUUUGCAUAUGAUCUAUUUUUUUCUUACUUUUAAA